CCUCCCUGCAGCCGAGCGGCCAGCUGAGCAUGGCUUUUGCCAAGCGGUACCACGUCCGCACCCAGGAUCCGAACCAGUGAACCCCAGGCCACGGAGAAGUGGAAUGUGCUAACUUAACCACUGCACCACCAGUGCCCCUGCUUUGCUGCCCUGCACCCUGAGCCUACGGGUCCUGUUGGCUACUCUGAGAAGCACACUGUGGACACCACUUUGGAAAAGAGAAUGUUCUUAACUUAAGCCUAUGGGCCACUCUAGGGCAAGGGUCGUUGUAUUUUAUAUGUUUUUGUCUUUCCUGGGACCCCACCGUGCCUGGGAGAUAAUAGGAAAUAACAAUCAAUGGUUGUUUUUUGGUCUUUACCUGAAAUGAAGCCCUGGCUGGCAGGUGGUCAGGACCCCUGGGAGACCAUCUCUACUUUGUCACAGCCUUGCUGGGUGCCUGAUGCCUACCAGCCUAUUUCUCUUUAUCUUUAGUUUUUCUCUUUGUAAGUCAGAACCUCCCCCCACCCGACAAGAAACCUGAUUUCAGUUCCAAGAAAGGAAAUCAAAACCCUAGAACUUUAGAGCUGGAAGGAACCAAAAUACUAAUAAUCUCUACCAUUGAUUGAAUCCUAGUUUUUUAAAUGAGUUUUAUUAAGAAUAGCCAAUUUUUAAAAUCUUUCAAAAAAAAAAAAAGAAUAGCCAUUUUGAACUUUGUCCAAUGUCUUCUUAGCAUCUAUUAAAUUGAUGGUGUGAUUUUUCUUGUUUAACAUAUUAAGAUGCUUUUUAUUAAUGAAUUGCAUCAUUAAAGACUCAUUCUAGCAUUUCACAAGUAAAUCAGAAAAAAACCCUCAAAGCUCAUCGAAGUCAGUGGUUCUCAAUUAGAUAUAGCCAAAUUCAUUUAUUUUCAGAUGAGGAAACCAAAGCACUAAGAGGUAAAUGCUUUCAAAUAUGGUCCCUAGUUUUUUUCAUGUAUCAUUUCCCCCUAAUCAGGCUGUUAAGAUCCCAAAGAGCAAGCACAGAGGGUCCUAUGUAUCAUUUUCUCUGUAUUAUUUCACCUAAGGGACCA
rnacentral:lncRNA from 1 species